rnacentral:rRNA from 1 species
UACGGAGGUUGCAAGCGUUAUCCGGAAUGAUUGGGCGUAAAGCGUCCGCAGGUGGCUAUGUAAGUCUGCUGUUAAAGAGUGAGGCUCAACCUCAUAAGAGCAGUGGAAACUACAUGGCUAGAGUGCGUUCGGGGCAGAGGGAAUUCCUGGUGUAGCGGUGAAAUGCGUAGAUAUCAGGAAGAACACCGGUGGCGAGAGCGCUCUGCUAGGCCGCAACUGACACUGAGGGACGAAAGCUAGGGGAGCGAAUGGG